UCCGUUCAGAGAUUUUUGGAU
rnacentral:piRNA from 1 species